UUUUAAGGGCUUCUGGCUGGAACCCUCAAGCUGGCUCUUGGCAUCCAGGCAGCUAAGUCCAUAUGACCCAUACAGUGUCAUAUCUCACAGUUGUAAUGGGAUGUUCCAACGCAUGGCAGAAUACAGUGUGUGCCCCUUUCCCAUCAUGUCUCUUUCCCUCUCCCCCCAGAGGAAAUCAGAGAAAUCAAAGGCGGCCAAUGAGAGGGCAGCGUGCAGGCCUCCUCUGCUCAGAAGCCAGCUGUGGUGAGAAGGCUGGCAGCUGUGGGUGUGGAGCCAAGUCACAUGGAGGCCAGUCAAGUGAACAGGGGAUGUCACACUGGAGAAGCACACAAAAGUCCUCUUUACACAAUCGAAGGGCUGUCGUGGGGCAGAGGACUCAAGGU
rnacentral:lncRNA from 1 species